rnacentral:rRNA from 1 species
GACGCACUCUGGCGGCGUGCUUAACACAUGCAAGUCGAACGGAAAGGCCCUUUGCUUGCAAGGGGUACUCGAGUGGCGAACGGGUGAGUAACACGUGGGUGAUCUGCCUUGCACUUCGGGAUAAGCCUGGGAAACCGGGUCUAAUACCGGAUAGGACCAUGCUUUAGUGUGUGUGGUGGAAAGUUUUUUCGGUGCAAGAUGAGCCCGCGGCCUAUCAGCUUGUUGGUGGGGUAAUGGCCUACCAAGGCGACGACGGGUAGCCGGCCUGAGAGGGUGUACGGCCACAUUGGGACUGAGACACGGCCCAGACUCCUACGGGAGGCAGCAGUGGGGAAUAUUGCANCAUGGGCGCAAGCCUGAUGCAGCGACGCCGCGUGGGGGAUGACGGCCUUCGGGUUUGUAACUCCUUUCGCUAGGGAAGAAGCCACUGUGUGGUGACGGUACCUGGAUAAGAAGCACCGGCUAACUACGUGCCAGCAGCCGCGGUAAUACGUAGGGUGCGAGCGUUGUUCCGAAAUACUGGGCGUAAAGAGCUCGUAGGUGGUUUGUCCCGUCGUCUGUAAAACCCGGGGGCUAACUUCCGGCUGCAGGCAAUACGGGCAUAACUAGAGUGCUCUUUGGGAGACUGUAAUUCCUGGUGUAGCGGUGAAAUGCGCAUAUAUCAGGAGGAACACCGAUGGCGAAGGCACGUCUCUGGGCACUUACCGACGCUGAGGAGCGAAAGCGUGGGUAGCGAACAUGAUUACACCCCGUGGCAGUCCAUGCCACAAACGGCGCGCGCUAUGGGGGGGGGUUUUAUUUACUAUUCCGCCGCCGUAGCUAACGCCAUAAGCGCCCCCGCCUGGGGAGUACCGCCCGCAAGGCCUAAAACUCAAAGGAAUUGACCGGGGGGCCCCACAAAGCGGCGAGGCAUGUGGAUAAAUUCGAUGCAACGCGAGAACCUUAACCUGGGCUGNACAUACACCGCGAUCGCUGCAGAGAUGUAGUUCCCCUUGUGGCUGGUGUACAGGUGGUGCAUGGUUGUCGUCAGCUCGUGUCGUGAGAUGUUGGGUUAAGUCCCGCAACGAGCGCAACCCUUGUCUUGUGCUGCCAGCACGUUAUGGUGGGGACUCGCGAGAGACUGCCGGGGUUAACUCGGAGGAAGGUGGGGAUGACGUCAAAUCAUCAUGCCCCUUAUGUCCAGGGCUUCACACAUGCUACAAUGGUCGGUACAGUGGGUUGCGAUACCGUGAGGUGGAGCUAAUCCCUUAAAGCCGGUCUCAGUUCGGAUUGGAGUCUGCAACUCGACUCCAUGAAGUCGGAGUCGCUAGUAAUCGCAGAUCAGCAACGCUGCGGUGAAUACGUUCCCGGGCCU